CGAGCAAAGCAUUACAGUAGUCUAUUCGAGAAAAGACAAACGUAGUGAUCAGUUUUUCAGCCACUGAAAAAGACAACAUGGGACGCAGUCUUGCAAUGUUUCUAAGGUGAAAAAAUGAUACUUUAACCAUGUUCUGAACAUGAGGAUCAAAAGUUAAGUUUGAAUCAAAUAUCACCCCCAGAUUUUUUAAUUUUGCUUGAAACUCCAUAAUAGACCCAUCCAUCUUUAAAUUUAAGAUAUUAGCUUUACGUAUUUGAUGGGGUGAACCAAUCAGCAUAACCUCAGUCUUGUCACUGUUGAGACAAAGAAAAUUUUGAGACAUCCAUAUUUUUACCUCCAAUAUGCAAUGUUCAAGAAAGGCAACAGCCGAAUUAUCACCAGGUUUUGAGUGAAUAUAAAUCUGAGUGUCAUCUGCGUAAAAAUGAAACUUAAGACCAAGGGAUCUUAGAAAUAGCCCAAGGGGAAAAAUGUACAUACUAAAAAGUAAGGGACUCAAAACUGAACCCUGUGGUGUGCACAAUCACACACACGCACUCACACACACAAACUAAUACCUUCUUGCUAAAAAGACCAUUGAUUUCACAGGUUAUUUCAUUUGGAUGUAUUUUUUGCCUUUACCGAUGACUGACUUCCUUUUUGUCACACUUUAGACUGUUGUACGGUCACAUUGGAUUUGAAAGCAACAUCCUUUCUUCCAUACAUCCACGCUACCUGAAAGACGACAGCUUCCUGAAUCCAACGAUACCAGUUAUGUGCACAUCGGACCUCCGCUUCAAAAGAUACGGCCAGGUAAGCUUUGGCCAAUCAGAUCGCAUAUGCUAAUGAGGGUGGAAUUAAUGAGGGUGAAACUCGUUUUUAUCUAUAUACCUAGUUGCAAUUAACCCCAGACUAGCCCCUAACCCUAACCAUAAACUGCUAGCCCUAACCCACUAACCCCUGACCACAAAAACUUUAAACAUGCUAGCCCUAGGCUCAAUAAAUCUUCAUUAACGCAAAACUUCAUCAAAUUCUGUACAGAAAAAACAUAAAACUAAUCUCUAUCUAUCUAUCUAUCUAUCUAUCUAUCUAUCUAUCUAUCUAUCUAUCUAUCCACACCAGCACCUAACACUUAACAUAACCUUUGAAGGGAACGAUAUGUUCUUCCUUUACAUGUUCAAUAGUCUAAAUUGCUCAAGCCUACCUGCUGUUUUCUCUCAAA
ensembl:lncRNA